rnacentral:lncRNA from 1 species
AUACUAAAGAAGUCUCAUGAGAUCUGAUGGUUUUAAAGAUAGGAGUUUUCCCGCACAAGCUCUCUCUUUUUGCCUGUUGCCAUCCAUGUCAGAUGUAACUCGUUCCUCCUUGUCUUCCACCAUGAUUGUGAGGCCUCUCCAGCCACAUGGAACUGUUUGA